rnacentral:lncRNA from 1 species
GUACUGGUUUCCUCGUUCCUUGCUCGGUCUGUCAUGGAGGAAAGAAACCCGAAAGCGUGCGGAAGAGGGAACCUCCGUCGGUGAAAAGAAAAGCAUUCGUGUAGGCAUAAAUAUGCGUAUACGGUGUGCAGAAGGGACACCGCAAAUGCGUCUAGUUUGCACAAGCUCUUGCUUUGGUGACAGACUUGUUCUUAGAAAUAGCACACCACAAAAGAGAAAAGGAUUAGACGGCUUGUGUGAUCGCUGUUGGUGAGAAAUUGACUGUGUCGUUUCAGUCUGUCUGUUCAAAAUUUUCGUGUGCUCGAGAAGAAGAAUUAGUGGGUGUGGGAAAUAUGGCACCAGAGCCCGCGCAGAGUUCCUGUUGUAUUUGGUAAUCGAGACGAUGUCAUGCAGAGGUAUUUUUGGGUUCGUUCCCAGAUAAAAUGAAACUCGAUAUGUAUUUUGCUCUUCAGGGAAUCAGUAGAGGUGCUUUACAGCGUUGAGGAUGGCCGCAUGGUCACCGUGUGCAAAUAUGCCUGUCUGGGAAAACUGUGGCAGUGACCAAGACACACCGAUGCGUGCAACUCUGCUGUUCGCUAUUCGACGCAAGACGACGACAUCAGUGAGAAGGUCACUCGUGAUAUAGAGAUAAGCAUCUCGGAAAUGGACAUUCUUGCUGUUUCUUGAAGGCAUACCAAUUCAUAUUCUCAGAUUCGUUGAUAGUUAUGACAGAGGUUUGGGGGAAGGGAUUCGUGUUUGUAUCUACUCGGCUAUGUCGUUAAACUCCGGCGAGACGGAGAGAGCAUCCUAGCUGCGCACGAUGAGUGACGACCGUCCCCUUGUUCUCGAUUCCUUUAACAAACAUUGAACUUUCCUUUUGCACUUACCGGCGUAUAUCGUGGAACCUUCAGGUAGUGUGCCGGUGAUGCUGGAGUAUGUGAGUGACCCGCACACUCUGGCGUUCGUCCUUCUACAAUACGCAUGGAAAGGGGGGACGAUACUAACAGUGGGUGUCGUGCCAAAAGAGGAUUAAUAUACGUUCGUGCACCUGAACUAAUACGGACGUGAAUGCACCUGUGAUUUGAGGUUUCAAGGGUGCGGGCGCUAAACAUCUGCAACUGAGGCCCGGCACUGGGUUUCGCAAGGCGUUUCUGGUUGGAAGCCAAAGGAUAGGGAUCCUUCUGGUCUGAGGGUAUCUCCUAGCGAUGCCACGAUAACAGCGUUUUCCUUUGUUUCUUCAGUGCCGUCGUUGGCACACGGCUCUACUCGUAUGACUGGGUGCAUGUUGCAUGAGGAUAGACGGUGACAUGUUUGCCGGAGAAGGAAACAACUAACACUGCAUUGUUUCUUCAGGGGUUCACGGCAUACCGGCCAUCGACGUGCCACUCUUCACAACAAACAGAUACUCUAUAGUGGAGUCGAGUCUCAGUCCUCAAACCGCGGGUCGUGCCGUGAUGCGGGAACAAGAAAAAAAACAGACAUUAGGUUUCAGGAUGCCUCCAACUGUAAAAUGCCGAUUUUGUAGCCAGUUUGAGACCUCGUGGUCACCGCCAUGUCUUUGUCCUGUACCGACCCUUUCCCAGCUGUAAAGCUGCUAUGUGCCACAUCAAAGGCUACGUAUAAUAUGCAUCCAACGGAUGCUUUUAACGAGAACCCCCGCGAGCCUGGUUUCCGAAGCAGGCACGCGCUAGCCUUCUGUUGGGCUCCCC